rnacentral:rRNA from 1 species
UUAGCUCCUUGUGGGCGAAAUAAAUACAACUUUCAACAACGGAUUUUUUGGCUCUCGCAUCGAUGAAGAACGCAGGGGAAAAUCGAUAAGUAAUGUGAAUUGCAGAAUUCAGUGAAUCAUCGAAUCUUUGAACGCACCUUGCGCCCCUUGGUAUUCCGAGGGGCAUGCCUGUUUGAGUGUCAUGUUAAUAUCAAACCCCUUGUCUUCGUCGACUCGGCUUGGUUUGGACUUGGAGGUGUUGCCGGCGAUAUACAUAUACAUAUACACAUGUAUAUGUAUGUCGGCUCCUCUUAAAUGCAUUAGCUGGACUUUGGUUCGCAUUGGCGGUGUAAUAGUAAAGUGUUCGCCGGGGUGCUUGCCUAAGGGGUCCGCUUCUAAUCGUCUUCGGACAAGGUCGAGUUCGACCUUUUGUUGGUGUUGACCGUUUGACCUCAAAUCAGGUAGGAUUACCCGCUGAACUUAAGCAUAUCAAUAAGCGGAGGAAAAGAAACUAACGAGGAUUCCCCUAGUAACUGCGAGUGAAGCGGGAAGAGCUCAAAUUUGAAAUCUGGCGGCUUUUGGGUCGUCCGAGUUGUAACCUGGAGAGGCAUUUUCGGCGUUGGACCGUGUACAAGUCUCCUGGAAUGGAGCGUCAUAGAGGGUGAGAAUCCCGUCCAUGGCACGGACCGCCAAUGCUAUGUGAUAUGCCUUCGAAGAGUCGCGUUGUUUGGGAAUGCAGCGCAAAAUGGGUGGUAAAUUCCAUCUAAAGCUAAAUAUUGGCGAGAGACCGAUAGCGAACAAGUACCGUGAGGGAAAGAUGAAAAGCACUUUGGAAAGAGAGUUAAACAGUACGUGAAAUUGUUGAAAGGGAAACGCUUGAAGUCAGUCGCGUUCCGUGGAACUCAGCCUUGCUUCGGUUUGGUGUACUUUCCAUGUGAACGGGUCAACGUCAAUUUUGGGCGGUGGACAAAGGCGAGGGGAAUGUAGCGUCGCUUCGGGGACGUGUUAUAGCCCCUUGUUGUAUACGCCGGCCGGGAUUGAGGACUGCAGCACGCCCCCCUUGUGGGUGGUCGGGGGUUCGCCCCACGUACCCGUGCUUAGGAUGUUGGCAUAAUGGCUUUAAGCGACCCGUCUUGAAACACGGACCAAGGAGUCUAACAUGCUUGCGAGUGUUCGNGUGGAAAACCCUUGCGCGUAAUGAAAGUGAAAGUUGGGAAUCCGUUCUCGCGAGAGAGCGGGUGCACUGACGCCCGGCCCUGAGGUUCUCUGACGGUGCUGCGGUAGAGCAAGUAUGUUGGGACCCGAAAGAUGGUGAACUAUGCCUGAAUAGGGCGAAGCCAGAGGAAACUCUGGUGGAGGCUCGUAGCGAUUCUGACGUGCAAAUCGAUCGUCAAAUUUGGGUAUAGGGGCGAAAGACUAAUCGAACCAUCUAGUAGCUGGUUCCUGCCGAAGUUUCCCUCAGGAUAGCAGAGACUCGGAUCAGAUUUAUGUGGUAAAGCGAAUGAUUAGAGGCCUUGGGGUUGAAACAACCUU